rnacentral:rRNA from 1 species
UAGCCGUAAACUAUGCGGACUUGGUGUGAGGGUGGCUUUGAGCCGUCCUGGUGCCGAAGGGAAGCUGUUAAGUCCGCCGCCUGGGAAGUACGGUUGCAAGACUGAAACUUAAAGGAAUUGGCGGGGGAGCACCACAACGCGUGGAGCCUGCGGUUUAAUUGGAUUCAACGCCGGAGAUCUCACCAGCGGCGACAGCAGUAUGAUGACCAGGUUGAUGACCUUGUUUGACGCGCUGAGAGGUGGUGCAGGCGUCAGUGACU